GCAGGGGAUCCAUUGAUACAGGAACUCAGCAGGGGGCGGAGCUACACGGGACCCAGGGGGCGGAGCUACACGGGACCCAGGCUGCCUGCUGCUAACAUGGCUGUUGCUGCUGCUGUUGAGAGGGAGAGAAGCUGCUGCACAUCCAUGUCCGGCCCAGCCAGUGAGACAGUGACUGCACCGAAGACCGAAUUCUGUCUCUCACAGUUAAAGUGUACCUAUGAUGGAAUUUACAGACCUCUCUCAUCUUUUUAACCUAUUUGUGAUGUGGACCCCCCACUGCGGUGUGACCUAAAGACCCCUCAGGUUUACCUUUGAUGUACUUGAACCCCUGAACCCCUCUACUGUGUAAAGUGGCGCUUACACCCUCCCUCUACCAAGAUGCGCUACUUGUGAUGUGGACCCCCCACUGCGAUGUGACCUUGAGAACCCUUCAGGUUUACCUUGGAUGUGCUUUAAGACCUUGAACCCCUCUACUGUGGAAAGUGGCGCUUACACCCUCACUCUACCAUGAUGGCCUACUUGUGAUGUUCAACCGCUAGGUGACCUGGAACACAUGAACUGUUGGGGGAACUUGAGGGCCGAUGUUGGGAACACCUGGCCUAGUGGGACAAGAUUUGUGUGGUUGUGUGCAGCGUGAGACAUGUUUCUCACCCAUGUCACCUCUACACGGUCAACGUUUUCCAGAUGACGUCUUGAGAACCAUCCCUAUGAAGAAAACAACAGGUGAAUA